GGCGAUACGUUCAAAGGAUGCAUGAGUUCCGGCACUGAGGGCCAGCUGCUAUGUAGGAUGUUACAGGUGGCGUUCAGGAGAGGUCUGAUGUUCAACUUGGGAAAGGAAGGAAAGGUUGUCCUGGAUGGCAUUUCAUUGCAUGAAGGAUCAGUGUAUGACCUUGAUUGGUGGGAUUACGCUAAAUACAUACGUACCUUAAAAGCGGAACUGGCUGCCAAAGGUAUCACAGAGGCGAUCAUAGAUCAGACAGAGAAGUUGGAAGAGACUUUUGCUGUCGAUGGUUUAUCUUUGCUGGAAGCUGCACGGAGUUCUUAAAGGUGCGGACAGUGGAGUUGACAGGUGUAUAACAGAGAUGUGUGUACGUUCUAAAGGACUCUUAAAACAGACGUUUAUGGUUGAUUGUUCAUGAUUUUCCUUUUGUAACUAUUGUUGAUAUAUAUAAAACGUAUUAUAGAGCGUUGUUUUCUUAUACUGAUAUCAUAUAAGGCUAACUAUAGUUUAUCUCGGUGAACAAUUAUUGUGUUUUUGAGAGUAUUGUAUUUUCAAAUGUUCAGACUAGUAAGUUAAAUGAGAAGGUAAAAUGGAAGCAAAAUGUCGUAGUGUAUAUACUAUAGUUUAUAAAGUGUACUCCCAGCGAUUUCGGUAGCGUUUUUUAAUAAAUAUCUUAAUUAACAUGUAUACAUGAUAACACUAAUAAUCACAAGUUGCUUUUGUCUAUUUUGUAAUUAUAAACGUCUUUCGAAAGUAAGCAAAGAGUUUUUUUUUGUAAUUUAAGUCUCACACGUUUGUAAAUAUGUAUUUCCUUUUAAGUGCAACCGGCAAAAAAACUAACUUCCAUGCAGACGUAUAGAUAUGCACUGCUUUGCUGUUGAGCUAUAUAUAAGUCUCGGAUAUAAUCGUUUUAAAAUGUAUUUUUCCAAUGUGUAGCAGCAUUACGCAAAAAUAUUAAUAUAUAUUGUUUCAAUUUCCAAUUUAGCAUUUUGUUACGACUUCGUGGUCUAUAAUAUUACGUAUUGUAGUUCUUAAAUAUCAUAAUAAUUUUAAAUAAUAUAUAAUAGUACUGCAGAAUAAGAUUUUGUUAAAAUAUUUGCAUACUUAGACCUAGUGUAUGGACAAUUACUCAUACUUCACCGACAGUGCCAUGUCGGUUACAAUGUUUACAAAUGACUGUAUUGUGAUAGUUGUGUACUGUUUGUUGUCUUUCAGCGUUAUACAUACUCUGCUUGGUAUUUGUUUUUUCGUUGAUCUGUAAUACUUUAAACACGGUAUAGGUAACAUAUAAAGCUACUUGGCCGGUCUUGAUGUUACCACUUUAUCUUUUAAACGAUUGCAAGUCAAUUUAGAGGUAGCGUUAGCAAUUUCAAUUAAUAAAUAGCUUACUAUUAUGUAGAUUUAAAUAAAAGCGGUCAAAUGGCUAUAAAGCAAGAUAGAAAACAACAAAAAUCAAAACAACAACAACAACAUUAAUUAGCAUGCACUUUAUCAUAGUCUUUACCUUGUAUCCUAUCUUGUAUUGUAAACUGUGGUUUAGGUAGCGCUGCGAGGUGAUGGUCCGUUCUGACCUAACAUCAUGUGUUACUAUGAGAAUUAUAAACAAUGAUUUGUAUUGA